rnacentral:lncRNA from 1 species
UUUGGAUCUCGUUUGAAGCCUCCCUCAGGUUUGACAACCUCAGGUUUGAAGCCUCAAGCCCUCCUUCAGGUUUGAAGCCUCAAGCCCCUCUCCUGUUUCAAACCACCAUCUCUCCUCUGUUCUCUCCCUUCUUCCCUCUCCAUGCCUUCAAAGUAAACCAACAGUCUCAAAGCCAUGGACCAACACAAGACCGACGACAAUCUCCGUUACGUAGGUGGCCUCACACGUGUUCUCGCCGCCGAUGCCUCCAUUUUCUUUGCAGGUUUGUUCAAUAUGCGUCAAUUCGUUAUUUUCAUUUUGAUUUUUACUUAAUUUACUUGAAUUUCUACUUGAUUUCUCUUUCGCAUGCACCAACCCCGACGAAUCGCCGAUUUCCACUGACGAUAUAUUCCAAAAUGGCCAGAUUUGUCUUGUGUUCCUGAUUUUCAACCUGGAUCUCUUCUUCGCAAAUGCCGACGACGAUGAUUUUUCCAUAGCCAAAGAGGCUGCCGCUUCCUCUUCCUCUCUGCGGUCGCCAUUAAAGAAGCUCUUCUUUGAAGAGCGGAAUACGCCGAACUCGGCAAUGUCGUUUUAGAACUCAGAAGGUGGACUCAGGUCCUGAUCCAUGAGAGCAACCAACUUCUGAGUUUGAUCAUCAACACCUGUUACAGCAUAAAAGGAGAUCUUUCUCUGUGAGCUCAUUAGUGAUGCCUCUGAUGUACGUAUUUUCACCGUUUAUUCUUAUGUCGAUUGCUCAUUUCAGUAUUUUCUAGUUUUAUUGUAUGAAUUGUUGUGUUUUCUGUUUGUGUUUGGCUUGUGAACAUUUUAAAUUCAACAACUUAGUUUGUAUGGCUUGUGAAAAUUUUGAAGUAAUGAUACACUGUAAGAUGUGUGCCAUCAGAUUGGCUGCUAACUAUCAGGAAUUGUAGGAAGUGGACCCCUGUGAUGAUCUAACUGAUGAUGAUUUUCGAAUGGCUAUUCAAAAUGCUUCUGGUGUAAGAAAUGCUUUAUUUGUGCCUGAGGUAUAAUGAUGACAUAUGCUGAUCAGUUCACAAUUGUAUAUCAUUUUGUACCCUUCUUGCUUAUGAUUUGGUUAUGUUAUUGAGUCAAACAUGUGCUUUUAAUCCCUUUUUCUGUUUAUCAUUCAGUUCAUUGGGCCUUAGGUAACAAUGGUGUCUUUGGAUAAGAAAAGAUGCAAAAUGGUGCAAAAACGAGCAGACUGGGUUACCAACUCAUUUCGGCCUUAACAUCUUCCUCCGAACUUUGAUUUGCCCAAAUAAAUUGUGGUUGGAAAGAUGAGAGUCUGAACUUCAAGAUGGACUACUCAAAUGCAUCAGAUAAUGAAGUUGAGCCCAAUUCGUGAGCCCAUGUACACACCAGACCAAACAUGUUGAGCAAUUGAGGGAGCAAUUGAGGGAGCAAUUAAGGGAGCAAUUGAGGGAGCAAUUAAGGGAGCAAUUGAGGGAGCAAUUAAGGGAGGUCUUUCCUUGACUUUAGACCCGACAUGUUGAGCAAUUAAGGGAGCAAUUAAGGGAGGUGUGUCAGCUACUCAAGUGCAGAGGAGUCACUCCAUUCACCAAUAAUUCACUCCAGCCAUCCUACAUCACUUCAUUGAGCCCAAAAUCAAAGGAGGACUCCAACAAGCCUUCCUUCCAUAUUCCUACGAAUUUGUUCUUUCUCUGCCAUCACCAGCCACCCAAACUCAUCCCAAAUCACCUCUUUAGUUGCCAUACUCUAGACAUGAGAAAGUUCUUUGAGUAGCAUUAGAAGUGGAUAAGCACCUGGAGAAGCCUUGGAAACCACAAGCAACUUCAGAAUUGGUUUUCUCUACUCUUAUUGCAUUCAAUAUGUUUUCUCAUUUUUGUUUAAGUUUCAUUUCCAUUAUGAGUAGCUAAAUUCAUAACUAGGGCUAUGAUGUAACCUAACAUGAAUAUUCUGGGUUUAUAAGUUGAAGUUUUGAGUUUCAAGUUUGAUUCAUGAUUCAUAUUCCUAUUCUUUAUGCUUAUCAGUUAAUAUGCUUGUUUGGAUGAUUGAUCACCAUUAGAAAUUGUAUAUUAGCUACCUUGGUUUGAAUCAAGAGUAGACACCAUGCUUUGAUUUUAAUUGAACUAUGAAUAAGAAAAGUAUGUAUGGACAUUCGACAACAGGGAUUAGAUACAUGCUUGGUUGUUUAACUUGUUCUUCUAUGCUUAAUGGGUUCCUAAUGCUUAAUUUAGAUUAGACAACAAAUAAUCAAGUUAGGGAAUUAGGAGCACAAGGUUAGGACCAGACACCAUGGCCUAAUCAUACUUUAGCUAGAAUCAACCUUUGAAUCCGAAUGAGACUUGUCACUUGACUCCUUAUAACCCAGAAUUGAAUUGUUAUGGUGAAUCGAAUGCCCUAGUCUCCCAAUCUGUUUUCCAGCCUACAAAAGUACUCUUUGUUACAUUUGUUCACCUUGCUUUUGUUUGAAAUUUCGCUUUGCCUCAUUUGUUCAACAAUUACAACCACUCUUGCUUUAAAUUCUGUUUUAGACUUAACCUCCUACUUCCUUGAAUUUGGUAAUCUAAGUACAUAACUAGUUUUAACUUCUCAGUCCUUGUGGGUACGACCUCGUACUUGUCUUGCUAUACUACUAAUUGGCCCGUACAAUUGCGAGUUAACAUUUUAACAACAUAUGCUGCAGUCUUUCAUUUUCCCUUGUGUUAAAUAUUAGAAACUAAUGGCUUGAUUUUACACUGCAUUGGCUGAUAAGUUUCUGAAUUGGUUUUAGGUCCCAUUUGAAUUUUUAGUUAGGAGACAAAUUGCUCGUCUGUUAGACCCAAGCCUUUAGUGUCUUCGAUUUGUUUAUGAUGAACUAAUGAAGGUGAGUAAUAAGGCAUAUGCUACGGAGUUUUAAUUGUAUGUUUCCAUGAAUCAUGAGAUGUAGAUGUAAUCAGGAAGAUAAAAUUUUGCCUGCAGAUAAGCCACGCUUGUGAGGUAAUUGAGUUGCAAAGAUUUCCAGUAUUGAGAAAGCAUCUGGAUGAAGUCAUGGUAAAAUUUUUGCACGAUGGUGUAGAACCUGCUGAGAGAAUGAUAGGAAAUCUUAUUGAGAUGGAGGUAUCUCUUUGUUAACCUCAUUACCACUAUAGUUUAUUCACUCAGAAUUAAGAUUUAGGACAUUGUUGCGUUUAUGCUUUUUUUUGUUAAAUUUGUUUCAAAGAGUCUCAAAAUUCUGUUUAAAUACUGGAAUAUACUAAAAUCUAAUCAAAAUGAGUCGGCAGUUGUAACUGGUAAAAUAGAAAGAGUCAACCUUCCUCAACACUUUGAUAUGGCAUUUGCAACAAGCCAAUUUUGGCUUUUUGGGUGGUUGUAGGUCUAAUAUAUGACUUCUGUAAAUUUCAACAAGUUAGUAAGUUGAUUUGUAGUAUACAAUUUGUUAUCUGUAAGUCGUAUGAGCAGUUGUUAACUUCCAGUAAGUGGUAUGAACAGCUGUUAUACUGUUCAUACCCUGCAACUGAGUUGAUUUAUAUAACAUAGUAUUAACAGUGUACUUCUAUGACAUAGUAUUAACAGAUUUUCAGUAACAAAGCACGCUCUAUAUUUUGCUCUAUAUAUGGCUGUGCACUUGAAGUUUAUGAUAUGCAAAAUGUGAUUUUUACUAGGACAAUAGUUCUAUGACAUAGUAUUAACAAUGUACUUUUGUGACAUAGUAUUAACAGUGUACUUGUUUUUUCCUUGUAAAGGUAUUUCCUUUUGCCUUUGCGAUUGUAUCUGGUGAAACUAUGGACAAUUGGAGGUGGCAGCAAAGGAUAUCGAAUCUCUUGUUAGGGUUUUUUGGAUUAUUUGUAUGAAAUGGUAUUUACAAUGUUUUUGUAUGAAAUUGUAUUAAGAAUGUUUUUCUAUGAAAUUGUAUUAACAAUAUACUUUUAUAGCAUGAUAUUAACAGUGCAUUUUUAUGACAU